GGUCCCGUAGUUCAAUGGAUAGAAUAGAAGUUUCCUAAACUUUAGAUGCAAGUUCGAUUCUUGCCGGGAUCA
rnacentral:tRNA from 1 species